AACGCACAUUGCGCCCCUUGGUAUUCCGAGGGGCAUGCCUGUUCGAGCGUCAUUACACCACUCAAGCACUGCUUGGUAUUGGGCCCCGUCCCCCUCCUCUUGGGGGGCGAGCCUCAAAGACCUCGGCGAGGCCUCACCGGCUUUAGGCGUAGUAGAAUUAUUUCGAACGUCUUUAAAAGGGGAGGACUUCUGCCGACAGAAGCCUUUAAUUUUUCUAAGGUUGACCUCGGAUCAGGUAGGGAUACCCGCUGAACUUAA
rnacentral:misc_RNA from 1 species